UGAAGUUUAAUGUUUAACUGCAUCAGUUUAUUUUCUCACAUCAGAUACAUUGUUAAUAAUAUUUACAUUAAACAUAAAAUUCCAUGUAAAAAAUACAAGUUUAAUAUGUCUCACAUCAAGGUAUUUUAGAGUUCCCUAGCAGUGGCAACACACACACAAUGACUACAAGCUCAUGCUUCCACAUCGAUCCAGAUCAGAAAUCCUCCUUCCACGGAUAAAAUAAUAAAAUUAAAACACUUACGUUUAAAAAAAUACAACCAAAAAUGUACAAAAUUAGAGGAGAGAGAUGAUAGGUAAAUAAAUGCAUGGCAAUUAUCGUCAGUAGAAAAUUCAAUAGGAGAUAACUGUAUAUCAAUAGGAGGCAUAUAGAUGUGGGCACUAAAAAGUUUGUUUUAUACAGGUUCUUGUGCUGUACUAUCGCUAGUAGACACUAAAGAGGAAUUGCUGGACAAUUGUUGUUUUGCCAAUACUCUACACUCGUAGAAAAAAAAAAAAUGAUUCUUCAGCUGUCUCACCCAAAAGGGUUCUACCUGGAAUCAAAAGGUUUCUACAGUACCUGUAACCAAGCAGGGUACUUCUAUGGGGACAGCUGAGGAAUGCUUUUGGAACCUUUUCUUCUAAGUGUGGAGCUGUUUAGUGUCCACUGCUGCAGCAGUUUGUAGCAAAGGGAUUCUUGAUAGUAGGGACAAAAAAAUUGAUUUAGUUGCAUUAUUUGAGCUAAAAAAUAUUUUUUUUGGGGUGGGGGGGGGGUGGAUUUUAUAGGGUAAAGAUUAGUGUGCAUAUUUUUCAUUAAUAUUUUAAAUAUGAUGAAUUUCCAUGUCGGCUCCAUGCCUGGAUAUGCCAUUGUCCGGAGCAAAGGAUCCCAAUUUCAAACUUCACAAAAAAAAAACGAUCUUAUCUAGUUUAUUACAGCAGCCCUCUGUGACUUUCAAUUAUUUGUGUCGUGUCUGAUCUCCGUCAGAUUGGUCAAAAUCCUAAAUUAAUUAGGAAUGAACAGGGCCAGUUAUACCAUAAGGACAUGAAGUGCAACAGGACCACUCAUGGUCUGGAUAGUUCUCUACUUUUGAUAGAUUUAAACAAACAAUAUUGGAAUUCCCCCGUGGUCACAACCAUAAACUGUCAACUCCAUUUGCCUUAUAGAUUAAGAUAGGAUAUUAAUUUAGGUUCAAAUACAGCGUGUUGUAUUUAAUGAGGUUUUAUUCAUAAAGCAAGUAAGGUAAUUAAAUAAAUAAUCACAAUUAUACUCCACUUGAAUGAAGAUUAAAAAUAUAAUUGUUGUAGACAAUUUAAAACAUUAACUCAAUCAGAUUUGUUUACUGGGGAUUUUAGAAUGAAUCAUUUAUUUUUACUAAUGUUUGUAUUGAACUUUUAAGUUCAGAGUAUCUGUUCAGAGUAUCUAUUCAGAAUAUCUGUUCAGAGUAUCUGUUCAAUCUGUUCAGAGUAUCUAUUCAGAGUAUCUGUUCAGAGUAUCUGUUCAGGGUAUCUGUUCAGAGUAUCUGUUCAAUCUGUUCAGAGUAUCUGUUCGGAGUAUCUGUUCGGAGUAUCUGUUCAGAGUAUCUGUUCAGAGUAUCUGUUCAGAGUAUCUGUUCAGAGUAUCUGUUCAGAGUAUCUGUUCAGAGUAUCUGUUCAAUCUGUUCAGAGUAUCUGUUCAGAGUAUCUGUUCAGAGUAUCUGUUCAGAGUAUCUGUUCAAUCUGUUCAGAGUAUCUAUUCAGAGUAUCUGUUCAGAGUAUCUGUUCAGAGUAUCUGUUCAAUCUGUUCAGAGUAUCUAUUCAGAGUAUCUGUUCAGAGUAUCUGUUCAGAGUAUCUGUUCAAUCUGUUCAGAGUAUCUGUUCAGAAUAUCUGUUCAGAGUAUCUGUUCAGAAUAUCUGUUCAGAGUAUCUGUUCAGAGUAUCUGUUCAGAGUAUCUGUUCAAUCUGUUCAGAGUAUCUGUUCAAUCUGUUCAGAGUAUCUGUUCAGAGUAUCUGUUCAAUCUGUUCAGAGUAUCUAUUCAGAGUAUCUGUUCAGAGUAUCUGUUCAGAGUAUCUGUUCAAUCUGUUCAGAGUAUCUGUUCAGAGUAUCUGUUCAGAGUAUCUGUUCAGAGUAUCUGUUCAGAGUAUCUGUUCAGAGUAUCUGUUCAGAGUAUCUGUCACUGACGGCUAACAACCUUAAGAUCCAUGUUUUGUCAAUAUUCAGAAAAAAAUAUGUUUUUCUGUUCUGCAACAUAGGCUUAAACUAUAAGUCAAAACAAAAAUGAUAAUUGUAAAAGUGCAAUGCUUUUUAUGGUAUUUGAUGGAGGUGAAACAAAUGAAUAGGUGUUCCAUUUACAUGCUUUGAUAGCUCAAAAUUCGGUCUAACAAAAUAUAUAUUUCACGUGUCAAAUGAGAGUGUCACUUCUUUCAAGAAUCCCUGAGCAUAUACUGUAAAUAAUAAUAAUAAUAGGGAAGGAGGAUGUGGAGGAGGAUGAGGAGGAGGAGGAGGAGGAGGAGGAUGAGGAGGAUGAGGAGGAUGAUGUGGAGGAGGAGGAUGAGGAGGAGGAUGUGGAGGAGGAGGACAAGGAGGAUGUGGAGGAGAAGUAGGUGGAGGAGGAUGUGGAGGAGGACGAGGACAAGGAGGAUGUGGAGGAGGAGGAUGUGAAGGAGAGGAGGCAGAGAAGAGGAGAAGGGGAGGAGGAGGAGGAGGAGGAGGAGGAGGAUGAGGAGGAAGAGGAGGAGGAGGAGGAGGAGGAUGUGGAGGAGGAGGAGGAUGAGGAGGAAGAGGAGGAGGAGGAGGAGGAGGAUGUGGAGGAGGGGGAUGUGGAGGAGGGGGAUGUGGAGGAAGAUGUGGAGGAGGAGGAGGAUGUGGAGGAGGGGGAUGUGGAGGAGGAGGAGGACAAGGAGGAUGUGGAGGAGAAGUAGGUGGAGGAGGAUGUGGAGGAGGACGAGGACAAGGAGGAUGUGGAGGAGGAGGAUGUGAAGGAGGAGGAUGUGAGGAGGAGGAGGAUGUGGAGGAGGAGGAGGAUGUGAGGAGGAGGAGGAUGUGGAGGAGGAGGAGGAGGAGGAUGUGAAGGAGAGCAGGCAGAGAAGAGGAGAAGGGGAGGAAUAGGAGGAGGAGAGGAGGAUGUGAAGGAGGAGGUGGAUGUGGAGGACGAGGUGGAUGUGGAGGAUGUGAGGAGGAGGAGGAGAGGAGGAUGUAGAGCAGGAGGAGGAGGAAAUCAGUGAUAGUAAUGGCGUUACAUGGGUAAGAUGUGUUUCCAUACAGCGGGUACAGCAAUAAAACACUUCACCAGCAGCUUCAGACCAACCUAAUGCCAUACUAGCACACAUAUAGAGACAUUGCAAGAAAACAAGGUGACACGGAAGAAAGUCUCACAAACAAAGUUUUACUCUAUCCCAACAACCAAUGUUCAAAAGUUAAAUUGUUACACGUUCAAAAACCUCUAAGGUAAAUUAUUUUUUAUUUUUUUUAUGGAGCACAAACACAAUUCAUUAUUUUUUGUUGUCGUCGUUCCAAAAUAUACAGCUGACAUGGCAAAACACCGAACUUUCAGUUUAUGAAAAUACAGUUAGUUGUGUUUGUGUGACAGUGCCGUUUCCGUGGUAAUAGCUUCUAACUGGCUUUUUGAUCAAACACAUUAUGGUCUGAAAUCAACACUGUCACAGCAUAGCAUGGUUCUAUUGUAAAAUAACUGGCCUACUAUAGUAUAUUAAUGUUCCUUCUCUAAAAAAAUACAAUAACACGUGCUAUUCUCUGCAAGAUGAAUGUUAGAUAGCUUGAUUUGAAAGUCUUUAUAGCAAUAUAUUUCUUAAAACCAUGUUCGAAAAUAUUUAAAAUAAGACAAAGAAAGGUGUGGUUUGUCCUAGAAAAGGUCUCCUGGCCACCCUCUAGCCGUGAUCAAAACAUCUGAACAAAAUCACAUUUCUAAAAAUGCAUCACAAAUACAUUUUGUGAGGUUGUUUGCUCUUUCACAUUUUUUUGAGGACAGCCCUGGUUGGUGUGUGAUUGUCAUAUUGGUCAAUUGGACCUGUAAGUCUGAGGAACUCCUUCCUUUCCUUCUGAUUAAUACGCCACAAAGCAUUAAGGACCUCAGUAGAUCUCUGACUGGACCUAUUUCUCAUACAGAUAUGGACAGUAUAUGGAAAGUCAGCAUUGGACAUGUGUCACCGUCCCAGCGGACAAAAUGGAUGUUGAAUGUAAACGUUGUCUUGAAAACAAAUUAACAUGAUAAUAAUAAUAUAAUAAUAUUAAUUAAUAAUAAUACGAUGUCAUUAACUGGAUGGUAUGAUGUCAUCAACUGGAUGGUAUGAUGUCAUCAACUGGAUGGUAUGAUGUCAUUAACUGGAUGGUAUGAUGUCAUUAACUGGAUGGUAUGAUGUCAUUAACUGGAUGGUAUGAUGUCAUCAACUGGAUGGUACGAUGUCAUUAACUGGAUGGUAUGAUGUCAUCAACUGGAUGGUAUGAUGUCAUCAACUGGAUGGUAUGAUGUCAUUAACUGGAUGGUAUGAUGUCAUUAACUGGAUGGUAUGAUGUCAUUAACUGGAUGGUAUGAUGUCAUCAACUGUAUGGUAUGAUGUCAUCAAAUGGAUGGUAUGAUGUCAUCAACUGGAUGGUAUGAUGUCAUUAACUGGAUGGUAUGAUGUCAUUAACUGGAUGGUAUGAUGUCAUUAACUGGAUGGUAUGAUGUCAUCAACUGUAUGGUACAAUGUCAUUAACUGGAUGGUAUGAUGUCAUCAACUGUAUGGUACGAUGUCAUUAACUGGAUGGUAUGAUGUCAUUAACUGUAUGGUACGAUGUCAUUAACUGGAUGGUAUGAUGUCAUCAACUGUAUGGUACGAUGUCAUUAACUGGAUGGUAUGAUGUCAUCAACUGGAUGGUAUGAUGUCAUCAACUGGAUGGUAUGAUGUCAUUAACUGGAUGGUAUGAUGUCAUUAACUGGAUGGUAUGAUGUCAUCAACUGGAUGGUAUGAUGUCAUCAACUGGAUGGUAUGAUGUCAUCAACUGGAUGGUAUGAUGUCAUCAACUGGAUGGUAUGAUGUCAUUAACUGGAUGGUAUGAUGUCAUUAACUGUAUGGUAUGAUGUCACUAACUGUAUGGUAUGAUGUCACUAACUGUAUGGUAAGCUCUGUCUGUGACAUCAUACCAUCAUCAACUACCAGACAAUUAUUAGAAGAAAAAAAUUGAUGGAGCAAAUAAAAUCUGUUUAAAAAAAUAAAUUACAAGAUUUAAAAGAAUACAAGAUUUUCUAAAAUCUUAAAACUGUACUUCGAUUGGAUUUAGAGCCCUUAGCUUGACGUUAUAUGUUAUGGGGGUGAUAACAUAACACUGUUAGAAAUCCAAAAUAACCAAAUCAGUCCUAAUUGUAGAUGUUUUUGAGAGGAGUGAUCCAGGUCAAACUAUCAAUUAUCCUGUUGAUAUAGUCCAUGUCAAAUAUUUAUUAUUAAAAACAAUGAUGACAGAAAUAAAAUGUCAUGUACUUUCACCAUCACACACGCAAUCAAACAUACAUGUACGUAUUUAUAAAGAAGCAAGCAAAUGAUUAUUAACAAACAUAAAACAAAAAUCCAUACAUACAAAAGUGUAUACCAAUCAAGAGAAGAGAGGUCACUACUACUGUGGGAAGAGAUAAGAGGUCCCUACUACUGUGGAAGAGAAAAUAGGUUCCUAUCACUGUGGGAAGAGAAAAGAGGUCCCUACUAAUGUGGGAAGAGAAAAGAGGUCCCUACUACUGUGGGAAGAGAAAAUAGGUUCCUAUCACUGUGGGAAGAGAAAAGAGGUCCCUACUAAUGUGGUAAGAGAAAAGAGGUCCCUACUACUGUGGGAAGAGAAAAUAGGUUCCUAUCACUGUGGGAAGAGAAAAGAGGUCCCUACUACUGUGGGAAGAGAAAAGAGGUCCCUACUAAUGUGGGAAGAGAAAAGAGGUUCCUAUCACUGUGGUAAGAGAAGAGAGGUCCCUACUACUGUGGGAAGAGAAAAUAGGUCCCUAUCACUGUGGAAGAGAAGAGAGGUCCCUAUCACUGUGGAAGAGAAAAGAGGUCCCUAUCACUGUGGAAGAGAAAAGAGGUCCCUAUCACUGUGGAAGAGAAAAGAGGUCCCUAUCACUGUGGAAGAGAAGAGAGGUCCCUAUCACUGUGGAAGAGAAGAGAGGUCCCUACUAAUGUGGUAAGAGAAAAUAGGUUCCUAUCACUGUGGGAAGAGAAAAGAGGUCCCUACUAAUGUGGGAAGAGAAAAGAGGUCCCUACUAAUGUGGGAAGAGAAAAGAGGUUCCUAUCACUGUGGUAAGAGAAGAGAGGUCCCUAUCACUGUGGGAAGAGAAGAGAGGUCCCUAUCACUGUGGAAGAGAAAAGAGGUCCCUAUCAUGUGGGAAGAGAAAAGUAUUAAAUAAAUCUCGAGUGACACAGUGGUGUAUAUUGUACAUUGUUGAACACUUGGCAAAAGUUAAAAAUGAACAUAUACAAGGAUAUGGAAGCAAUCAAGACAUCGAGGACAGCUAGUUGAAGAGCACACCUACAUUAGGGUGGUGAGGGUAAGGGUGAGGCUGAGUGGAGUGGAAUGUGAUGGCAGUGGUGUCUACAAUAACAGCACAAGAUGAGGAGUCAUACUGACAGCCUCGGUGGAACAUGCAGUGCACAACACACAAGGUUUAAGGUCCACAAACUACUGACACUUCCAUCAUAGCAGGGGGAGGCCCACUCCAUCAUCAGGCUCAUAGAAACAGAGAGAGAGAGAGAGAGAGAGAGAGAGAGAGAGAGAGAGAGAGAGAGAGAGAGAGAGAGAGAGACAGACAGAGAGACAGAGAGAGAGAGAGAGAGAGAGACAGAGAGAGAGACAGAGAGAGAGAGAGACAGAUAGAGGGAGAGAGAGAGAGAGAGAGAGAGAGAGAGAGACAGAGAGAGAGAGAGAGAGAGAGAGAGAGACAGAGAGAGACGAGAGAGAGAGAGAGGUGGUGGUGGUGGUGGUGGGGGUGGCAUAGCAUACACACCCUUAGAGCAAAGCUUGGUGUAGCUUCCUGUAUUUCAGGUUACAUCAGCUCUGAUGAUGGCUCUUACUGAGCUGGAGCUCCAGAAUGAUUUCAGGGGUUCACACGGACUGCUCCUUAGGGAAGAGGGGCCGUGGCGCCUCGCCCUGACCUUGGCCUUGGGCGGGGUAGCUGGCGGGGUACAGGGGGUUGUUGGAGAGAGGAUGUGUGUAGGGGUUCUGGGGUAAGAAGGUAACAGGAGGGGGGUAGGCCUGAGUUGGUUGUGACUCGAGACAGUGUUCCUUGUUGUAGACUCGAUGGUAGCUCACAUGUUCAGCCGGGUUGGAUGGUUCUUGCCACCCACAGUUCUGUGGAAACAAAGACAGAAUGAAAAACAAACUUUAAGAAAUUAAGAAUCAAUUACAUUAUUUGGAAAACUUUAGAUAAAGAUGGUUUAUUUUUUUACGUCUGUGUAGUAACACUGCUAUUACACUAGUUACAACAUCUUUCCACUAAUGGUAUUUACAGUGU
rnacentral:lncRNA from 1 species